UCGGGAUCCGGGGAGGAAAGUCCGGGCUCCAUGGAAAAACGGUGCCGGGUAACACCCGGCGGGGGUGACCCUAGGGAAAGUGCCACAGAAAGCAAACCGCCUAUUUCAUAGGUAAGGGUGAAAGGGUGGGGUAAGAGCCCACCGCGCACUCAGUAAUGAGUGUGGCAAGGUAAACCCCACCGGGAGCAAGACCGAAUAGAAAUGACGUGCAAGAUUUUACUUGCAGCCAGUUUCCAGGUGAGUCAUUUGGGUAGGUUGCACGAGGCGGAUGGUAACAUCCGUCCCAGAUGAAUGGUUGCCAUGUAGAGUGUAAACUUUACCAUACAGAACCCGGCUUACGAAUUC
rnacentral:RNase_P_RNA from 16 species